rnacentral:rRNA from 1 species
ACGCUCGACACCUACUGGAGGCAGCAGUGGGGAAUAUUGCACAAUGGGGGAAACCCUGAUGCAGCGACGCCGCGUGAGCGAAGAAGUAUUUCGGUAUGUAAAGCUCUAUCAGCAGGGAAGAAAAAUGACGGUACCUGACUAAGAAGCCCCGGCUAACUACGUGCCAGUAGCCGCCGGUAAGUACUGAGGCGGGCGGUCGGCGAAGGACG